UACGGAGGGUGCAAGCGUUAUCCGGAUUCACUGGGUUUAAAGGGUGCGUAGGCGGGCAGGUAAGUCCGUGGUGAAAUCUCUGAGCUUAACUUGGGAACUGCCAUUGAUACUAUUAGUCUUGAAUAUCGUGGAGGUAAGCGGAAUAUGUCAUGUAGCGGUGAAAUGCUUAGAUAUGACAUAGAACACCAAUUGCGAAGGCAGCUUGCUACACGGUCAUUGACACUGAGGCACGAAAGCGUGGGGAGCAAACAGG
rnacentral:rRNA from 1 species